GAUGAACGCUGGCGGCGUGCCUAAUACAUGCAAGUCGAGCGAACAGAUGAGGAGCUUGCUCCUCUGACGUUAGCGGCGGACGGGUGAGUAACACGUGGAUAACCUACCUAUAAGACUGGGAUAACUUCGGGAAACCGGAGCUAAUACCGGAUAAUAUAUUGAACCGCAUGGUUCAAUAGUGAAAGACGGUUUUGCUGUCACUUAUAGAUGGAUCCGCGCCGCAUUAGCUAGUUGUUAAGGUAACGGCUUACCAAGGCGACGAUGCGUAGCCGACCUGAGAGGGUGAUCGGCCACACUGGAACUGAGACACGGUCCAGACUCCUACGGGAGGCAGCAGUAGGGAAUCUUCCGCAAUGGGCGAAAGCCUGACGGAGCAACGCCGCGUGAGUGAUGAAGGUCUUCGGAUCGUAAAACUCUGUUAUUAGGGAAGAACAAAUGUGUAAGUAACUAUGCACGUCUUGACGGUACCUAAUCAGAAAGCCACGGCUAACUACGUG
rnacentral:rRNA from 1 species